GUGGGGAAUCUUCCGCAAUGGACGAAAGUCUGACGGAGCAACGCCGCGUGAGUGAAGAAGGUUUUCGGAUCGUAAAGCUCUUUCGUUAGGGACGAACGUGCUCUUUGUGAAUAAUGAGGAGUAAUGACGGUACCUAAAUAAGAAGCCACGGCUAACUACGUGUCAGCAGCCGCGGUAAUACGUAGGUGGCAAGCGUUGUCCGGAAUUAUUGGGCGUAAAGCGCGCGCAGGCGGGAUAUCAAGUCUGUCGUAAAAGUGCGAGGCUCAACCUCGUGAGGGGACAGAAACUGGUAUUCUUGAGUGUCGGAGAGGAAAGUGGAAUUCCAAGUGUAGCGGUGAAAUGCGUAGAGAUUUGGAAGAACACCAGUGGCGAAGGCGACUUUCUGGACGAUGUCUGACGCUGAGGCGCGAAAGCUAGGGGAGCGAACGGGAUUAGAUACCCGUGUAGUCC
rnacentral:rRNA from 1 species